rnacentral:ncRNA from 1 species
AUCAGACCAAAAACCGCCGGCGUCUUCGGGCGCGUUCGCCUUGGUGACUCUGGAUAACUUUGCGGAUCGCACGGUCUAGCACCGGCGACGGAUCAUUCAAGUGUCUGCCCUAUCAACUUUCGUCGGUACGGUAUUUGCCUACCGAGGUUCUUACGGGUGACGGGGAAUCAGGGUUUGAUUCCGGAUAGGGAGCCUGAGAAACGGCUAUCCACAUCCAAGGAAGACAGCAGGCGCGCAAUUAACCCAUUCCCGACGCGGGGAGGUAGCCCCAAAACAUGAUUGGAAACUUGGCUCGGUUAAAAAAAUAAAAAAUAAAUAAAACUGCCAGUACACGGUUCGCUAAAAUAU